UUUGACACGGAGYACCAGUACAUUGUGGUUGUGCGCUCAACGAGUSGAGUUGUUUGGGAAUGCAGCUCUAAAUGGGUGGUAAAUUCCAUCUAAAGCUAAAUAUUGGCGAGAGACCGAUAGCGAACAAGUACCGUGAGGGAAAGAUGAAAAGAACUUUGGAAAGAGAGUUAAAAAGUAUGUGAAA
rnacentral:rRNA from 1 species